rnacentral:rRNA from 1 species
CGGGAUAAGCCUGGGAAACUGGGUCUAAUACCGGAUAGGUGCCAUCUUUAGUGUGAUGGUUGGAAAGUUUUUCGGUGUAGGAUGAGCUCGCGGCCUAUCAGCUUGUUGGUGGGGUAAUGGCCUACCAAGGCGGCGACGGGUAGCCGGCCUGAGAGGGUGGACGGCCACAUUGGGACUGAGAUACGGCCCAG